rnacentral:rRNA from 1 species
AAUGAACGCUGGCGGCAGGCCUAACACAUGCAAGUCGAACGAAGUCUUCGGACUUAGUGGCGGACGGGUGAGUAACGCGUGGGAACGUGCCCUUUGCUACGGAAUAGCCCUGGGAAACUGGGAGUAAUACCGUAUGAGCCCGAGAGGGGAAAGAUUUAUCGGCAAAGGAUCGGCCCGCGUUGGAUUAGGUAGUUGGUGGGGUAAUGGCCUACCAAACCUACGAUCCAUAGCUGGUUUUAGAGGAUGAUCAGCCACACUGGGACUGAGACACGGCCCAGACUCCUACGGGAGGCAGCAGUGGGGAAUCUUAGACAAUGGGCGCAAGCCUGAUCUAGCCAUGCCGCGUGAUCGAUGAAGGCCUUAGGGUUGUAAAGAUCUUUCAGGUGGGAAGAUAAUGACUGUACCACCAGAAGAAGCCCCGGCUAACUCCGUGCCAGCAGCCGCCGC